UUUUUUCCCUCUAGGUUCUAUAUUCUUCUAAUUCUGAUUUUAAUUGGUUUUGAGUUUUAAAUGUAUUAUUAUAUGUUUCUAAUGAUUCAUACAGGAAGGGAAGUGAUGCAAGUAAAUAUGAAAUUUUAAGCGUUGUAAAAAAAUACAGUUAAUAUUUUGGUUUUUAAGUCGGUAGAUAUGAUAUUAAUGUAGUGUUCACUAUAUGAACGUGUUGUGUGUAUGGUAGCAUUUGUAACCUUAUGUGGACACAAAUCGCAAUUUCUCUCCGAUAGAUGCAUACACACCCUCCAUCCAAGAAAUGAUUUGAUUUCAUGAAAGAGAUUUCACUACAAUCAAGACCCUCUCCAAUGUAACACCCAUAAGGCGCCCGAGGUGGAAGUGAGAGAAGAGUUGUAUGCAAUUGUGGCGAGGAGAGAUGGGAGCCCAUAGGCAUGCAUGUGCCCAUGGGAUCGGAGGACCAAUUUGUGAAAGAGGAAGUAGAGAGAAGAGAUAACGGGGUGUGGAGAGGAGAGAGAAUGCCGGUUACUAGCCUGUAAACAUGGGCAUUGUCAGCGCCUAUUUUCCCCGUUAGACCAUGUGUAGCGGUGCACAUGAAUAAUGCCUCUACCCAUGGGUGUUGUGCACCAUGUGGCAAUCCAGUCAGCAAUGGGGCAUUAUGGGGUGUUUUUCUAAAAUGUGUGUAGUAGGGAGGCGGGUAUUAUGUUAAAAAAGGGAUGUAAAUAAAAUUAAAUAAAAAAAAUCAAAAACCUUUAUUGGACAAAAAAAGUAGAACAACAUUGAUUGGUCAAAUCUUUUGAACACGGCGUGGAAAAAACAACGCCAAAAUGAGCAUUUUUGAAAAAAAAAACCGCCCAGGGGCGGGCUUGGGGGCGUGGAAUUCAACAAAAACGCCCAAAAUUUGACGACUACGGUCUUAAUAGGUCACUCGAGAAAUCAUACAUCCAUUGUUUAAUUUAAGAUCAAACUCUUGCUAGCAACACAAUAUUCUUUUUAUCAAAUUCCCUCGAACCAAACAAAAAAUAAAGUAAUGAUAGCCAUGUAAGAGUAUCUAGAGGACUGCUAAAAAGUGUUCAAGUGACAAGUAAAUUUAUUGAAUGUUUUAAAACUUAAUCCUUCAACUUAGGAUUACAACUAAAAUUUCACAGCUCACCCCUAUACGAAGUCGUUAAAAUAACUUCUUCAUGGUGAUAACAUCAUCAUCAUACAAGUAAUAACAAACUUGAGAAUAUACACUACUAAUGUACUUACUACAUACAUGCUUCAGUUUGGGACAAAAUGGACAGGGCUUUUAUUGUUGAUGGCAUACUCUUCUUCUAGAGAGCCCAACAAUACAAAAACAUGGCACUGGCAGUACAAAUGUACAAUAAUAAGAUGAUAAUUAAAUUUAAAUUUGAAGCCAAACAAGCCUGGUGAGAGAUGAAAUAUAAAUAUGAAACAAUUGCUAACAUGCUGCUAAUAAAUGAUAAAACCUAACACAUAAUCAACUCUUGAUUUGAUUGAUCACUGCUUCCUUUCUUUCUCAUGUGAUUUGGUUUGAGGCAAUGUACCAAACACACUGUCCCAAAGAGAUGAUGUUAUCCCAAAUCCUUUUGUUUGAAUUCGGAAAUGAUGAUUUAAGUGGUAUUUCUGCGUAAAAACCAAUUCAUCGUUGUAAGUUUAUAUGCUAGACCAUGAAAGUUCAAAAAACAAAAGCCUAAAACCGAAGAAACACUAACGGGUCGUUCUCGGUUAAAAACUAGGCUACUAUUUUAUGCUAUGAUUAAAAAGACUGUUCGUAUUUUUUUGUGAUACUUGUGAGAACCCGUCACUAGAAAAUUAACGGGCCCCACAAAAUACCUUGCUAAAACACCAGUGGAAACUUGAUACUUUGUAAUAGUGACAGUGGAUGAAGUGGUCACUAUAGCUUGGCAUUUUCAGAAAAGAAAAAAUAAACGACAAACAUUUCAAAUAGAAAUUAUUGCAAUUUUUUAACAAGAGUUAGUAAUUAGAUUAACCUUGAGACUUUUGGAGAUUUCAUUUCUUGGCUGACCAUUAUGCAGGUAGUAAUGGGUGCAAUCAUACAUCACAUAACCCAGCAAAAUACCAGCAAAUAAAGCAGGAGCGACAGUAGGGGUCGAUAUCAGGUUUAAAAUCUUCCAUAACUGCCAAUCAUGACAUCUUGCUGCAGGUUAAAGGAAUUAAACUCACAUCGUCACUACGCACACACCGGAGUUGCAGACACUGUGUGAUUUGAUCAUGCUUCAACUGAGAUUGAAAUUGAAAGUGCAAAGGAGUGGAAGAACAAUCAGGAACUUUCAAUGUGUGAAAUCUAGACCUAACCUAAAGCAUUUCACACAGAAAACACCGAAUUAGCAGACGAUACAACACUAAUGACGAAAUUAGGGUUACAGGUAGCAUUACGUACAUGAUGCAGCAGCUGCAAUUGAGUGUUGUUGAAUCCGAUACAUGUGCUGCUGGAAGAAGACAUGGAGACAGACGAUGAGUGGAGAAUUACGAUUGGGUUGUAUGAGUUUUAUAAAUGUGGGUUUAAUUUAAUUUUGUAUAGAGUUAAUUACUGUUUUCGUCCCUGAGGUUUGUCAAAAAUAACGGUUUCAGUCCAUUAGUUUCAUUUUCGUAACCAUUUCAGUCC
rnacentral:lncRNA from 1 species